UAGGGAAUCUUCCACAAUGGACGCAAGUCUGAUGGAGCAACGCCGCGUGAGUGAAGAAGGCUUUCGGGUCGUAAAACUCUGUUAUUGAAGAAGAACGUGUGUGACAGUAACUGGUCAUGCAGUGACGGUAUUCAAUCAGAAAGUCACGGCUAACUACGUGCCAGCAGCCGCGGUAAUACGUAGGUGGCAAGCGUUGUCCGGAUUUAUUGGGCGUAAAGCGAGUGCAGGCGGUCUUUUAAGUCUGAUGUGAAAGCCUUCGGCUUAACCGAAGAAGGGCAU
rnacentral:rRNA from 1 species